UGCUCUCAGUCUCUUCUUGAUGCAGUCAUAGGACUUCCUUUUCUGAAUCACUGCUGCUGAAAUGUCUUGGAAAAACAUGAUUCUGGAGCCCUCGCACACCAACGCCAUUGGAUUCUUCUCUUGGGUUCUGGAAGAUUUCUGUUUGUCUUUAUAAUGAUGGAACUAUACCAAGACAGGGCGAGGGCAUUAGUCCAUUCCUGGUCUUCAUGCCGCGGCGUGGUGGGCUCUUAUAAUCUUCAUCCUUCCCUUUUCAGCCUCCAAACUAAGGAAUUCUGGGAGCCACUUCUCAAAACUUUCCACUGGCCUCUCACCUUUUGUCCCCUCCGGCAUUCCAGCAACACAAAGGUUCUCUCUUCUGCCCCUGUUCUCAAGGUCAUCCACCAAAUCCAGCAAACCAUCGACCUGCGUUUCCAGAGAUUCAAUCUGACUCUUGGAUGAAUCAGCCUCUGCUUUCACCCCUGGCCCGGUACUUGAGCUUGUCAGUCCUUUCCCCAGGUCUUGCAGCAUAGCACAAACCGGGGCUAAUUUUUCCUUGAUUUUUUUUUCCUUCAGUCUCCUUCCCAAGGACCUCACGAGAUUUGGCAAGCUUCUCAACCAAGGCCUGGUGUGUAAGCAAGCCUGCCGCCUUAAUGGAUUGAACCCCGGCCCUGGGCUAACUUCCUCCUUUUUUUGGCAUUCUCUUGCAGCAAAAACAAAGAUUUCCAGUAUCCACACUAAAGAACAAAGAAUAGUACAGCACAGCAACAAGCCCUUCAGCUUUCCAAGACUGCAUUGACAUGUGAUGCCUUUCUCAACUACAAAAUUUUUGGCUUUCUGCUUUGGAACAGAGUUGUCGGUGUUCCCUUAAAAAGUUUUAAGUUUUCAUAACCAGUCGUGGAAACGUAUCUGCUGAAAAUUACUCAUCAUUUUUCAACUGCAUGUAGGUUCAGAUGCUUUUGCAACUACUGUAUUUGUAAGGUAAGAACAUAUAUCUCUGCAAUUAACCUUAGGUAGUACAGCAUUUGAUACUACUACUUUUUAAUUACUCGUAAUAUGGAGAGACACACAAAUAUUAAGAAUUGGAUUCUGUUCACACUUUCUAAUCAUCUAUAUUAAAAACAGUAAUGUGUAAGUUUUGAGUUAGAGAUGUUACCUUUUUAAUUAGGGUCCUCUCCAUAACAUUGCAAAAAUACUUUCAGACAUAGUCCAAACAGCAUGUCCAAUGUGUCAUAGUCACAAAUGAAAUCCAGUGUGACUGUGACAAAGGGAAACUUUCCCUCGCUUUUCUUGGCCUGGCUGAAGUUUUUGACAGGGCUAAUCACACCAUCCCCCUCAAAUGCCACUGGCAUCCAGGUGGGUGGGACAGCACUCACUGGUGUCUUUUCAUAUACCUGUUUGUAGCUGGGGCAUGAUCUUCCUACUCCUGCACCACUAAAUUCAAUGACUCUCAAGAAUCUGUCUCCUCUUUCUGAUCUGCAUGAUGCCAUUUGGUAACAGAAACUUCCACAUAUGUGCUGGUCACCCCCAGCUUGACUUCUCCACUGUCUGUCUCAAUGCUUCUCUUGUCCCUAAAGUGUCAGUAUGAUUGUCAGUUUUCCCCAAGUAAAUAUCAGGAAGGUGGAAGUUAUUGUUUUCUGUCCCCUCCUCCAAGAAAUUAUAUUCCCUUGCCAUUGACUCCAUUCAUCCACCCCCCAAAAAAUCAGUUUCCUUGUUUUUGAGUCCAUUCCUCUCCCAUAUAACUGUCUGAGGCUUGAAUCAGACUGUGCACAAUCUUGAUGACAUAUUUGACUGAGAUAAAGCUACCUGCUUUAUCAUCACUAAAUGAUUGUUUUCACUUUGGGGACAUCACCUAACUCCACCAUUCCCUCAGCUUAUCCAGUGAAACACACUUUCAUGCAUGCCUUUGUUACCGUUCGACUUGACUAUUUAAAUCUCCUGACUGUCUUCCACUGUCCUUAAACCCGAGGUUGUCUAAAACUCCUGUUUGUUCUGAAUUGCAGCCAAUCUGAUUCAUCUGUCACUCUGGACAUGUUGAUCAGUCCCAAAUAAACAAUGCCUUGAUUUUAAAAUUUUGUUUCAAAUCACUUAAUGGCACUGCCCCUCCCUACUGGUCUAACCUCCUCCAGCCUUAUCUCAAACCACAGUUUGAGUCAUUUCUCCAUUGAAAGCCUUGCCACUUCCUCUGUAAACCUCCCUGCUUUUCCUUCCUUAAGGCAAUCCUUCAAACUUACUCUUUGAUCAAACUUCUGGUGAACAGUUCUUAGUAUCUUUGGUGUCAGAUUUUGUUUGGUAAUGCUCCUGAGAAGUGUCUCGGGGCAUUUUACUACCUUAAGGACAUUCAAUAAUGACAUUAUUGUGUCAUAACGGACAGCUCCAACGUUUGUUGCAUCUCAGUUGCAAGAUGCCUGUUUGAACGUGGGUUUUACGGGUGCUGUGUUAUCACACGGAGUGAACCGUGUAGCAUUUGGAUUUCAUUUUUCUACCAGCAUAUCACAUGCCCCGGUAACAAAGUAAAUAAAUGAUAAUAUAUCAGUGUUUUAUCUUAACAAUUUUGGGGCAGGUCGAUUAGAUCUGUGUAUCAUGCUGGA